UUUAAGCUUCCUCGGGAGGCUGCAGUGGGGAAUCUUAGACAAUGGGGGAAACCCUGAUCUAGCCAUGCCGCGUGAUCGAUGAAGGCCUUAGGGUUGUAAAGAUCUUUCAGGUGGGAAGAUAAUGACUGUACCACCAGAAGAAGCCCCGGCUAACUCCGUGCCAGCAGCCGCGGUAAUACGGAGGGGGCUAGCGUUGUUCGGAAUUACUGGGCGUAAAGCGCACGUAGGCGGAUCAGAAAGUCAGAGGUGAAAUCCCAGGGCUCAACCUUGGAACUGCCUUUGAAACUCCUGAUCUUGAGGUCGAGAGAGGUGAGUGGAAUUCCGAGUGUAGAGGUGAAAUUCGUAGAUAUUCGGAGGAACACCAGUGGCGAAGGCGGCUCACUGGCUCGAUACUGACGCUGAGGUGCGAAAGCGUGGGGAGCAAACAGGAUUAGAUACCCUUGUAGUCGAAUUCU
rnacentral:rRNA from 1 species